rnacentral:rRNA from 1 species
GACGAACGCUGGCGGCGUGCUUGACACAUGCAAGUCGAACGGAAAGGCCUGCUUUCCCUUGUGGAUUGCGGGUACUCGAGUGGCGAACGGGUGAGUAACACGUGAGUGAUCUGCCCCCAACUUGGGUAUAAGCCUGGGAAACUGGGUCUAAUUCCCGAUAGGACUGCAGGGUGGUGCCUGUGGUGGAAAACGAUUUUCUAGUGGUUGGGGAUGAGCUCGCGGCCUAUCAGCUUGUUGGUGGGGUAAUGGCCUACCAAGGCGGCGACGGGUAGCCGGCCUGGGAGGGUGGACGGCCGCAUUGGGACUGGGAUACGGCCCAGACUCCUACGGGAGGCAGCAGUGGGGAGUAUUGCACAAUGGGCGGAAGCCUGAUGCAGCGACGCCGCGUGGGGGAUGACGGCCUUCGGGUUGUAAACUCCUUUCGACCGCGAGGAAGCCACCUGGUUGGAAGGGUGGUGACGGUAGUGGUAGAAGAAGCACCGGCUAACUACGUG